CCCUUAGAUGUUCUGGGCCGCACGCGCGCUACACUGAUGAACGCAACGAGACCACCUGUACCGAAAGGCAUGGGUAAACUUGUGAAAGUUCAUCGUGAUGGGGAUAGAUUAUUGCAAUUAUUAAUCUUCAACGAGGAAUUCCUAGUAAGCGCGAGUCAUCAGCUCGCGUUGAUUACGUCCCUGCCCUUUGUACACACCGCCCGUCGCACCUACUGAUUGGAUGACUCGGUGAAGAAUCGGGACCGUGAGAACAAUCGAUUCAUUUCGAAUGUACUUGUGGGAACCUUUCUUAACCUCGUUUUCUAGAAGAAGGUGAAGUCGUAACA
rnacentral:rRNA from 1 species